rnacentral:rRNA from 1 species
UGGGCGUUAAGUUGCAGGGUAUAGACCCGAAACCCGGUGAUCUAGCCAUGGGCAGGUUGAAGGUUGGGUAACACUAACUGGAGGACCGAACCGACUAAUGUUGAAAAAUUAGCGGAUGACCUGUGGCUGGGGGUGAAAGGCCAAUCAAACCGGGAGAUAGCUGGUUCUCCCCGAAAGCUAUUUAGGUAGCGCCUCGUGAAUUCAUCUCCGGGGGUAGAGCACUGUUUCGGCUAGGGGGCCAUCCCGGCUUACCAACCCGAUGCAAACUGCGAAUACCGGAGAAUGUUAUCACGGGAGACACACGGCGGGUGCUAACGUCCGUCGUGAAGAGGGAAACAACCCAGACCGCCAGCUAAGGUCCCAAAGUCAUGGUUAAGUGGGAAACGAUGUGGGAAGGCCCAGACAGCCAGGAUGUUGGCUUAGAAGCAGCCAUCAUUUAAAGAAAGCGUAAUAGCUCACUGGUCGAGUCGGCCUGCGCGGAAGAUGUAACGGGGCUAAACCAUGCACCGAAGCUGCGGCAGCGACGCUGAUGCGUUGUUGGGUAGGGGAGCGUUCUGUAAGCCUGCGAAGGUGGCCUGUGAGGGUUGCUGGAGGUAUCAGAAGUGCGAAUGCUGACAUAAGUAACGAUAAAGCGGGUGAAAAGCCCGCUCGCCGGAAGACCAAGGGUUCCUGUCCAACGUUAAUCGGGGCAGGGUGAGUCGACCCCUAAGGCGAGGCCGAAAGGCGUAGUCGAUGGGAAACGGGUUAAUAUUCCCGUACUUGGUGUUACUGCGAAGGGGGGACGGAGAAGGCUAUGUUGGCCGGGCGACGGUUGUCCCGGUUUAAGCGUGUAGGUGUGUGUUCCAGGUAAAUCCGGUUCACUUUAACACUGAGGCGUGAUGACGAGGCACUACGGUGCUGAAGCAACAAAUGCCCUGCUUCCAGGAAAAGCCUCUAAGCAUCAGGUAACAUCAAAUCGUACCCCAAACCGACACAGGUGGUCAGGUAGAGAAUACCAAGGCGCUUGAGAGAACUCGGGUGAAGGAACUAGGCAAAAUGGUGCCGUAACUUCGGGAGAAGGCACGCUGACACGUAGGUGAAGUGAUUUACUCAUGGAGCUGAAGUCAGUCGAAGAUACCAGCUGGCUGCAACUGUUUAUUAAAAACACAGCACUGUGCAAACACGAAAGUGGACGUAUACGGUGUGACGCCUGCCCGGUGCCGGAAGGUUAAUUGAUGGGGUCAGCGCAAGCGAAGCUCCUGAUCGAAGCCCCGGUAAACGGCGGCCGUAACUAUAACGGUCCUAAGGUAGCGAAAUUCCUUGUCGGGUAAGUUCCGACCUGCACGAAUGGCGUAAUGAUGGCCAGGCUGUCUCCACCCGAGACUCAGUGAAAUUGAACUCGCUGUGAAGAUGCAGUGUACCCGCGGCAAGACGGAAAGACCCCGUGAACCUUUACUAUAGCUUGACACUGAACAUUGAGCCUUGAUGUGUAGGAUAGGUGGGAGGCUUUGAAGUGUGGACGCCAGUCUGCAUGGAGCCGACCUUGAAAUACCACCCUUUAAUGUUU